rnacentral:ribozyme from 13 species
UACUUUUUUUUUUUUUUUUUUUUUUUUUUUUUUUUUUUUUUUUUUUUUUUUUUUCCGCGCUCGCUGCAU